rnacentral:lncRNA from 1 species
AGACUUGAGCAUAUAAUCAACCGAUUGCUGACAAAAAAACCGACCUCGAUCGAUCCGGUUUGCAAUUGUAGAGUCAUCGUUUCCUUUUCAAUUACAAGGACACACAUACAACAUAACCACUAUACUCAAGGCACCACAUGUGUAAAUGCGCAGAUACGGAUGCUAGAACUAUAAGCAUAAAAAGUUCAAAACCAUAGAAGCCAUAGCAUAUUGAAUAUCGCAAGGUUUAGAUAGUCAAAUAUGUCUGUUGUUCUCUAUUCUGAAUAAAAGUUACACGGAAAUCCCUAAUUUUUUUUAGGGGAAAGCAGUAGGUCAGAAGACCUAUUAAUUGCAACAAUAUAGUAAUGAAAAGUAAAUAUGUGCAAAAUAUGAAAAGGAAAAAAAAGACUAUCUAAAUGUAUCAAUCCAGCCUCUAAGUGAUUCAUAGCGCUGUAUGAAAUACAAGGUCCAGGUCCUCCUUAAAGAUCCUCUGGCAGCCAUAUAAUGUCGGAGUGAUAUUAUUGAAUAUGCGGUCAUUACGAACACCCAGAUGCUCCAUGCAACUAGAGUAGUGAUUUCCAUUUGAAAAGGCACAUUAAGGUCUCUCUUAAUGGCAGAAAUGGUGGAGUGAACAGAGGACUCGGGUGCUAAUUAAGUUGGAGCACAUGUAUAUAUCUCCGGCAUGACAAAGCAAAAGGGCAAGUGAAGAAGAGGUGGUCUCUUAUCUCAAUCUCCACGUAGCACAAAAAGAUGUGAUUGGAGGUGAAAGUUCCUUUUGGGAUUAUAAUUGCCACUUGAUCCCUCUGGUUCCGGUUUAAAGGGCUGAUUUUUCUACAAAUUAUGAAAUUAAGCACGGACCGUGAGAUACACGAUCGUACUAUUAUACACGUGUCUAUGCGAAUUAGGUUGCGAUACACUGAGGCCUGAUCGAACGCUUAAUUAGAACAAAUUCAGCAGCAAUCUAGUCACGCGCGCGGCUCAUCACUUAUCAACAAAUUUGGUUUUCACUGGCGUGCAUGCGCGUCCCAUCUCACGCGCGCCAGCUCACUAGCUCGAUCGAUGCAGACAAGCUAUGAAAUGUGCGUGGACGCAUCAUGUAUGCAUGCAUGGUUGAUUUGUCGGGGUGUUUGGAAUGCCAGCAGGUUCCUAACGGUCUAGGAAUGUGAUCGUGCCGUCCGACCUCUUCACUGAUAUGGCAGGUUGCAUGCCUUUUUCCUUUCUUGCCCUUCGACAGCUCGUACGUACGUACACUGGCACUGUCGAGCCAAACGGCUUUUCAAUCGGAACAGACUAAUAACAAAAACAAAAAAAAACCGUCAUCCUGCCCGGCACCUUGUGUGAAAAACUUGAAAAACCUGAUCGACUUUGAGAAUUUAGACGACGAGCUAGCUAUAGCCUUGUCGUCCUUGUACGAGUUUGUGCAAAGCAUGCAUGCACUGGCUGUACUGGCUAAGUACAAUCCAACAAACUCCAGCUGCACACCACUCAGGGGCCGGGCAUGCAGUACACGUACUACCGGCCACACAGGCAGAGGCCAGGACACCGUCGUCGUACGCAGUAGGCCUUGACGUGUAACGAACUGCAAUUGCAUUCGUCAUCGAUAUGAUCGAUCGAUCCAUGAGUCAGAUCAUUGCAAUUAUAUUCAGGCUAGCUAGCUAGAGAUCAUGCUUGCAUGUGCUCGUGUAGACUAAUCAGGCAGCCGCGUGGAUUAACAUCGAUCGCCCGUGCGUUUAGCGCUGCAGCCAACUGCCGGACGGCCGGUGCAUAUGACAAGUACGUGCGAGCUUACGCUCAAGUACAACUCUGAUUAAUCAUGCAUCACUGGCUGUUGUUUAUCAUGUCCAAUAUGUUAUGAUUUGCUUAGUUUACUAUGUGUUGUGAUUUUGUGGACUACAUAUUUACUCAAAAUGUCUAAUUACUCAACAUCUUCGCAUGCACUCGAUAUUUUCACAACACUGUUAUUCAUUUUAAGAAGUUCUGAAAUAAAGUGAAAACGUUCAUGGAUGUUUAUCGAGCCAAAACAUGUACACUUGCAAACUUUGGUGCAGAAUUGUGAUCAUAUAGUAUCUAUACAAAACAAUCUAUAUAUUACCGAAAGAAACUAUCGUCAACAUCCAUGCAUGGAUAUUCUUAGAAAACCAUAUAACUUUCAUCGCAAAAAAAGAAAAGAAACCAUAGCUUGUUUAAGUCUGCAAAGAAGAGAUCAAGUAUAGGGCGUGAAUAAAUCCGAGUGGAAAUAAGCAAAAAAAUUAGGGAAAGUUGAGAUCUCGUUUUUUCCUUAUCUUUUUUGAGGGAAAGUUGAGAUCUCGUUUGCUUCACAUAUCAGUAGUGGGCCAACAAGUUGCUUUGUUUUUCAUUUCAUUUCAGCCCAUCAGAAGCCGUCUAACCCCAUCUAAAAAGAAGAAGCCCUCUAAAAAAAAUCUAUACCUGUCUAAAAAAUACGGAUUGUUCUCUUCACCGUCGUCUGUUAAACUUUCCAAAAAAAUUGUGAGGCCUACUAAACCGGCUGGCCCGUUACCUGCACCAAAUUGGACUGGAACUCCGUGAGGGAAUCCAUCGCCAGCGGGAUCGUUACAAGAGUCGAGCAACAACUCCGAAUCUGACUAGAAAAAGAUCGCUCCGCCGAAACACUGCGGGAGUCGGAAGAUGAGACCCGAUCGGGCACUCAUCGGGCAAGGGAUCGAAGCCACGGCCGUCCCCACUGUCUCCCAGGCGCGGCCACGGCUGGUCCCCUCUUCCGUUUCCAUCCACGGCUGUCUCCUCCUAGGGCUAAAUUACACGAGGAGAUGGCGAAUUGUUAGAAAAAGUUGAUGAGACAGACUGCAAGAGAGAAUGGUGGCGGC